UCAGAGAUGGCGUCCAUUUUCAGUCCAUUUCGAACCAGCUGGUUGGGGGGGAGCCAUGGAAGAUCUGCAUUCAUUGUUAGACAUGCGUGGGGGGCCGUCGAUUUUUGUUUGGGAGGUGCGCUGCAAAUCCAGCCGCACUUUUAGUCUUCGUCUCACAGAUUUGUGGUCGGGAGAUUUCUCAUCGUUUCUACAGCCUUCGACUCAGACGUCUUCCAUCUUUCUUGCUUGCGAGUUUUUGCAUCCUAUGUCUUCAGGUUCUUGGGUAAUCCCUAAUGCUAUAUAAGAGGAGCUGAGGUAUUUAUAUUUCACAACAUAUUGGGUUCUAUCAGGAAGGGGAUUGAAUCUCACAGAUUAGCUCAGCUUGAAUACACCAAAAGGCAAGGGACUAGACAUUUGCAUUCUGCUGUCAUUUUCGAGCUUGGAUACACCAAAAGGCAAGGGACUAGACAUUUGGAUUCUGCUAUCAUUUUCGAGGUAUAAAAACUCUUCCAAUUCAUUGUUUUCUAACAUUAACCAAUAUUAGUCAUCUUAAUCACUUGAUUUUAA